UACAUAAAGUGCAAACGUUGCUCGGAAUUAUUGGGCGUAAAGCGCGCGUAAGCGGUUACUCAAGUCGGAUGUGAAAGCCCUCGGCUUAACUGAGGAAGUGCACCCGAAACUGAGUAGCUAGAGUACUAAAGAGGGUCGCGGAAUUCCCGGUGUAAAAGUGAAAUUCGUAGAUAUCAAGAGGAACACCGGUGGCGAAGGCGGCGACCUGGGUAGAUACUGACGCUGAGGCGCGAAAGCGUGGGGAGCAAACAGG
rnacentral:rRNA from 1 species